CGGGACGGGUGAGUAAUGUAUGGGGAUCUGCCUGAUGGCGGGGGGUAACUACUGGAAACGGUAGCUAAUACCGCAUAAUGUCUACGGACCAAAGCGGGGGACCUCCGGGCCUCGCGCCAUCAGAUGAACCCAUAUGGGAUUAGCUAGUAGGUAAGGUAACGGCUUACCUAGGCGACGAUCCCUAGCUGGUCUGAGAGGAUGAUCAGCCACACUGGGACUGAGACACGGCCCAG
rnacentral:rRNA from 1 species